ensembl:lncRNA novel transcript
ACAGACACAGCUGAGCCUGCUUCACCAUCUUCCGUAGUCCCAGGCUGUGCAAAGAGGAGGUAUAUCCAGCUAGUAUACUUUUUCCCUGGCCGAUUCAGUUGGCUAGAGCUCUUCAGGGACCACACUGCAAUUCUGGAUUUCCUGCCAGCCUUUAGGUGCUUCUGGGAAGAAGGAAGGAAAACUUGAAUGUGCUAAGAGAAAUCUGAACACAGCUUAAAUCAAAAGUCUAUCUUGCUAGAAGAGCACUGGAGAUAGAGUCGGAUACGCUUUAAAGGACAAGGGAAAACAGCUCCCAGUGGAUGGUACACACAUGGCAAAAGGCCAAGAGUAGAAGCACCGUCAUUAGGAAAAGGAAUCAGCCAAGCAUCGAACAAACAACUGAGAUCCUGUUGUGCCUAUCACCUGUUGAAGUUGCCAGUCUUAAGGAAGGAAUCAAUUUCUUUCGCAAUAAGAGCACUGGCAAAGACUACGUCUUGUACAAGAAUAAGAGCCGACUGAGGGCAUGCAAGAAUAUGUGCAAGCACCAAGGAGGCCUGUUCAUAAAAGAUAUCGAGGAUUUAGCCGGAAGUUGUUGAAAUGGAUGAAAACAACGGACUUUUGCUUUUAGAACUGAAUCCUCCUAACCCUUGGGACUUACAGCCCAGAUCUCCUGAAGAGUUGGCUUUUGGAGAAGUACAGAUAACAUAUCUCACUCAUGCCUGCAUGGACCUCAAGUUAGGAGACAAGAGAAUGGUGUUUGACCCUUGGUUAAUCGGUCCUGCUUUUGCCCGUGGAUGGUGGUUGCUCCAUGAGCCUCCAUCUGAUUGGCUGGAGAGGCUGUGCCAGGCAGACCUCAUUUACAUCAGUCAUCUGCACUCAGACCACCUGAGUUACCCCACACUGAAAAAGCUUGCUGGGAGAAGACCAGAUAUUCCCAUUUAUGUUGGAAACACAGAAAGGCCUGUAUUUUGGAAUCUGAAUCAGAGCGGUGUCCAGUUGACUAAUAUCAAUGUCGUGCCAUUUGGAAUAUGGCAGCAGGUGGACAAAAAUCUUCGAUUCAUGAUCUUGAUGGACGGUGUUCAUCCUGAGAUGGACACUUGCAUUAUUGUGGAGUACAAAGGUCAUAAAAUACUCAAUAUAGUAGACUGCACCAGACCCAAUGGGGGAAGGCUGCCUAUGAAGGUUGCUCUAAUGAUGAGUGAUUUUGCUGGAGGAGCAUCAGGCUUUCCAAUGACUUUCAGUGGUGGAAAAUUUACGGAGGAAUGGAAAGCCCAAUUCAUUAAAACAGAAAGGAAGAAGCUCCUGAACUACAAGGCUCGGCUGGUGAAGAACCUGCAACCCCGAAUUUAUUGUCCCUUUGCUGGGUAUUUUGUGGAAUCUCACCCAUCAGACAAGUACAUCAAGGAAACAAACACCAAAAAUGACCCAAAUGAACUCAACAAUCUUAUCAAGAAAAACUCUGAUGUGAUAACAUGGACCCCUCGACCGGGAGCCACCCUUGAUCUGGGAAGAAUGCUGAAGGAUCGAACAGACAGCAAGGGCAUCAUAGAGCCUCCAGAGGGGACAAAAAUUUACAAGGAUUCCUGGGAUUUUGAACCUUAUUUGGAAAUCUUGAAUGCUGCUCUAGGAGAUGAAAUAUUUCUUCACUCAUCCUGGAUAAAAGAAUACUUCACUUGGGCUGGAUUUAAAGAUUACAACCUUGUGGUCAGGAUGAUUGAGACAGAUGAGGACUUCAAUCCUUUUCCUGGAGGAUAUGACUAUUUGGUUGACUUUUUAGAUUUAUCCUUCCCAAAAGAAAGACCACAACGAGAACAUCCCUAUGAGGAAAUCCAUAGCCGGGUGGAUGUCAUCAGACACGUGGUGAAGAAUGGUCUACUCUGGGAUGAGUUGUAUAUAGGAUUCCAAACACGGCUCCAGCGGGAUCCUGACAUAUACCAUCACCUGUUUUGGAAUCAUUUUCAAAUAAAACUCCCCCUCACACCACCCAACUGGAAGUCAUUCCUGAUGUGCUGUGAGCAGAAUGGGCCUGUGAUUUUGCAAGAAUGCAAAACCACAUGAAAAUUUCAAGAAUUCACUGAUCUGAUGCAAAAUAAAAAUUUAUCAUUACAUCUUGAACCCAGGAAGCUUACAGCAAAGAGACUAUGCUUUAUGACGUCAGCAAUAGAUAAUUCCACGUUGCCUUUGUGAUUUGUAUAUAUAGCUUACAUUUGUGGAUCACUACAUAGCCAGAUUCAAAAAUAUUUUACUUGUUCCAUCCACAGUUCUCUACAGAAAGAACCAAUGAACCCAAUAGGAACAAAUUCUCUGUGGAAAACAAAGCAUAGCUGUAGUAGAUACGAAUCCAAUCACAGAGGAAACAGGAAGAGAAAAACAUCCAAGACUACAGUGAAAACUGGAAAUGGUCUGUUUUCGUGAUAUUCGUAUGAUUAAGAUGCAAAUUUUUUCUUAGGAAAAUGUGAUUGUUAACUAGCAUUCUGUUUUACAUGUUGACAUUUCUAACACACACACCACUGAUUUGAACUUCAAAAUUUAUUUUCUGAUUAUAUAUGCUAGGUCUGAUUCUGAAGAUACAAGAAUUCAAUGGUGGAAUUUGUCUCCUGAAAUUUCUAGAUUCAUAAUUAGAAGUGUUUAUUACCAACUUCUCACUUAGAUUAACAUCAGUGAUGUUUGAUUAUUCUGGUUAACCGCUCACAUGCAUAACAAUAAUGCUAGAAAUUCAGGAAUUAUAAUUUUGUGAUUUAUACUGUGUGGUAAAUUAUUCAGUUCUCACUGCAAAUAAAUAUAAUGUAUAUCAAUGUAAUGUAGGUCAGA